UAAUGGUGAGGCAUCCAUUUGAACAGGGCAGUGUCCCUUCUAGAACAGGAACUCUGGACUCAGGGAUUUUGAGUGAGUGAGUGACAGUGAAACAUGAACCCCAGGAGCCCUCACACGACAGGGAGAGAAGGAAGGAAAACCUUUACACGCCUCAGCCUAGGCAGAGCCAGAAGAAGAGACAAGAUGCUUAUUUUUUGACUGGAUAAUACAGUAUAAAUAAUAAAGAGUAGAAAAGAGUAAAUAAUGGAAAGUACUGGGAAAGUUCUCUCCCAGUUGUACUAGUUCUGUGUCCUUCUAGAAAUAUUCAAAACAUUCUCUACUGGACUUCCCCCCCACCCCCUACAACUUAGCACGAUAUCUU
rnacentral:lncRNA from 1 species